rnacentral:tRNA from 2 species
GAGGAUAUAGCUCAGUUGGUAGAGUAUUUGCCUGGCAUGUUCAAGGAGACCCUGGGGUCGAUCCCCAGUAACCCCG